rnacentral:rRNA from 1 species
CACAAGCGGUGGAGCAUGUGGUUUAAUUCGAAGCAACGCGAAGAACCUUACCAAAUCUUGACAUCCUUUGACAACUCUAGAGAUAGAGCCUUCCCCUUCGGGGGACAAAGUGACAGGUGGUGCAUGGUUGUCGUCAGCUCGUGUCGUGAGAUGUUGGGUUAAGUCCCGCAACGAGCGCAACCCUUAAGCUUAGUUGCCAUCAUUAAGUUGGGCACUCUAAGUUGACUGCCGGUGACAAACCGGAGGAAGGUGGGGAUGACGUCAAAUCAUCAUGCCCCUUAUGAUUUGGGCUACACACGUGCUACAAUGGACAAUACAAAGGGCAGCGAAACCGCGAGGUCAAGCAAAUCCCAUAAAGUUGUUCUCAGUUCGGAUUGUAGUCUGCAACUCGACUACAUGAAGCUGGAAUCGCUAGUAAUCGUAGAUCAGCAUGCUACGGUGAAUACGUUCCCGGGUCUUGUACACACCGCCCGUCACACCACGAGAGUUUGUAACACCCGAAGCCGGUGGAGUAACCUUUUAGGAGCUAGCCGUCGAAGGUGGGACAAAUGAUUGGGGUGAAGUCGUAACAAGGUAGCCGUAUCGGAAGGUGCGGCUGGAUCACCUCCUUUCUAAGGA